GUAGGGUGCGAGCGUUAAUCGGAAUUACUGGGCGUAAAGCGUGCGCAGGCGGUUUUGAAAGUCAGAUGUGAAAUCCCCGGGCUCAACCUGGGAACUGCGUUUGAAACUCCAAAGCUAGAGUAUGGGAGAGGGGGGUAGAAUUCCACGUGUAGCAGUGAAAUGCGUAGAGAUGUGGAGGAAUACCAAUGGCGAAGGCAGCCCCCUGGCUUAAUACUGACGCUCAUGCACGAAAGCGUGGGGAGCAAACAGGAUUAGAUACCCUGGUAGUCCACGCCCUAAACGAUGUCUACUAGUUGUUGGGAGAGUAAAAUCUCUUAGUAACGCACKAACGCGUGAAGUAGACCGCC
rnacentral:rRNA from 1 species